AGUGACUGCUAUGAUUCUAGUUUCAUUCAAGGCAAGUUUUUUCUUGACAUACAAAUAAUCAGGAAAAUACUGUCUUGAAUGAUACUUGGGUCAGAUUAUAUACU
rnacentral:pre_miRNA from 1 species